rnacentral:rRNA from 1 species
UACGUAGGGUGCAAGCGUUGUCCGGAAUUAUUGGGCGUAAAGAGCUCGUAGGUGGUCUGUCGCGUCGGCUGUGAAAACUCGGGGCUCAACCCCGAGCCUGCAGUCGAUACGGGCAGACUUGAGUGCGGUAGGGGAGACUGGAAUUCCUGGUGUAGCGGUGAAAUGCGCAGAUAUCAGGAGGAACACCGGCGGCGAAGGCGGGUCGCUGGGCCGUAACUGACACUGAGGAGCGAAAGCGUGGGGAGCGAACAGG